rnacentral:lncRNA from 1 species
CCCAUUUUGGUUUAGGUUUAGUGGUGGUUUUCACGACACCUGUGUUCUUGGCGGCAAACCCACUGCGAAAAAGUACAAUUCUUUUUUUUAAAAAAAAGAUUUUAUUUAUAUAUUCAUGAGAGACACACAGAGAGAGAAGCAGAGACUAGGCAGAGGGAGAAGCAGGCUCCAUGCAGGGAGCUCGGUCUGGGACUCAAUCCAGGAUCCCAGGAUCACACCCUGAGCCAAAGGCAGAUGCUCAACCACUGAGCCACCCAGACGUCCCAAUAUCCUACUAUUCUAAAUGCUGUUGAGAAUGGAACUGAAAGUCUCAUUUGCUGCUCUGGGCAUGCAGAAUUAUACAGCCACUUUGUAAAACAAUUUGGCUGUUCUUUCAAACAAAUGACCCAACAAUCCCAUUCCUAGGUAUUUACCCAAGAGAAAUGAAAACUUAUGUUCAUACAGAAUCUUGUAUACAGUGUGUAUAGUAGUUUUAUAUUAAUUACUAGAACCUAGAAGGCAUCCUUCAAUGGAUGAAUAAACGAACUAUGGUAUAUCCUGAAAAUGAAGUUCUACUCAGUAAUAAAAAGGAACAAAGUAUUGAUUCAUGCAACUACAUUACUAAGUGAAAGAAAUCUUAAAAACUUGUACCAGUUUGUUUAGAUAAUUUGUGCAAACAAUGUGAUUUAUACUGAAUAUUUUCUUUCCUUCUGGGAAUGGGACCUUCAGAAACUACAUCACUGCAUGUUUAUGUUACUGAUUCCCAGUAGAAACACUGGAUUCCUAGGCUCAAGCAAGCUUCCCUAGGAGACAGCGGUUUGAACAUGUGGUUACAAUUUGAUGCUAGAGGAAUCAAGUGCAUCCUGUAAAAUUCCACUGGGAUAAGACUCUUGGAAAUUUGAAUUUAAAUUCCUCCAGACUUCAUCCAAUGUGCUUUUUCCUUUUGCUAAUUUUCCUUUGUAUCGUUUGAUGUAAUAAACCAUGAAUAUAAUGAUUUCAGAGGCCUGUGAGUCCUUCUAACAAAACACAGAAUCUGAAAGUAGUCAUGGGGACCACCAAUGCUAUGUGCAUGCAUGUUAGUAUACAUACAUUUAUAUUCUAGUUUUGUCUGCAGAGCCUAAAAGAAACAAGCAGGCCUUGUAGCAACAGGAUCUUGAGCUGCAAAUAAAUACCAUUUGAUUUUAGGGCCAAACAGGGGAAAAUACAAGAUGAGACUGCAUAUCACAUAAUCCUAGAAAUAAAGAAGUGCUUUUUUAAAAAAAAGAUGAGGAUGGGGAGAUCAGGGCAUAUCAAAAGGACACAGGAUCCCAUUGGCCAACACUGGAACAAUUUAAACAACAAAAUAAUGAUAAUGUUGAUUAUAUACCAGUGAGUAAAAUAAAUUAUCCUUGAGUUCAUACUGAUGUAAAUAAGCAAACAAACAGUGAGUGAGAAAAGAGACAAAUUUUUAGAGAAGAAUUCCAAGUAGGGGUGUCUAGGUGGCUCAGUUGGUUAGGUGUCUGCCUUCAACUCAGGUCAUGAUACUGGGGUCCUGGAAUCAAGCCCCAAGUUGGGCUCCCUGCCCAGCAGGGAGUCUGUUUCUCCCUCUCCUCUGCCCCUGCCCCUGAUUGUGUGCAUGCUCUCUCUCUUUCUUAAAUAAACAAAAGCUUUUUUUUUUAAAGGAAGAAUUUCAAGUAAUAAAUUCAGAAAGAUAAGGGAACUAGAAAUUUAUCCUUAGAACACCAAUAAUUCACCAAUUCACCAAUACAAUUGCUACAGGCGAGAUCCACAGACUAAUGCUAUAAGUGUAGGGCAAAAUUUUAAGGAAAAACAGAAUAUGUGCAUAGCCUUGAAAUAUCUACCCCAACAUGUUUACUAAGAAUUGUGUGCUUUUGAACAUAUGUCCAAAAAUUCUUUGAUAUUUAUCCUACCAAGAGGUGGAACUUAAUUCCAGUUCUUGCAUGCUAGAUUUAGUGAUUUGCUUCUAUUGAAUAGAAUACAGAAAGGGAAAAAUAUUAACUGUACAGCAGAGAAGCCUGAUAGGAGUACCUUAACCAAAUAUUCAAGGUUAACAUAACCAGUAAUAAAUCAUGUUGGUAUCAUGUGCCCCUAGCAUGAUAUGAUAAGAACACUUGGCUUCUAUAGUGUUCUUCCUAACUCAUAACCCUAGUAUAAUAAUGACAAAAUGUAUUAAAAUGUAGCUAUGGGAUUUUAAUUUACGGAGGUGACUGAAUGAUGACAUGGAGAGGCUAAUACCAUCGAAAGAAUUUAUUACAAUUCCCAUGCAGAAAUUAAUGGGGAAAGACCAGGUUUGAUCAGGAGGCAGAAGUAUGAACAAGGGGGAAGAAUGGCCUAAAACUUUAUUGUGUUUUCCAUGGAACAAGAAAGACAGUACAGGAUAAACAGCUUAGGAGAGGCUACUUCAAAUAACAUCAACUGGCUCUGAGCUGUAGGAUUAGGCUGGUAUCUGGCCCUUGGUGAUUUAAAACAGAGGAAGAAAUUGGCUUGGUAUGUGAGAGUUAGAUAAAGGAGGUGGUUGAGAGUAUGGACCAGAAUUGGUUAGAGGGUUUGUAAUGUGAUUUUCAUGUACCUGUGAAUUCUGGAUCACAGGGGAGAUAUAAAGAUCUCUAGCUGUUAGUUUGGCCCUGUGAUCAAAAGAUGCCAAACAGAUGAAUAUAGGAUCCAAAAAAACAAAACAAAACAAAACAAAAAAUGAAAAACAUCACAUGCACUCAUAUUGAGGAACAUUCUACAAAAUAUUUUAAACAGUACUCUUCAAAACUUUCCAAGUCAUGAAAAACAAGAAAAACACUGAGAAACUGUCACAUAUUGGAGGACACUAAUGAAAAAGAAUGGUGUGGUAUCCAAAAUUGGAUCUUGAAACAAAACCAGAAAAUCAAUGGGACAAGUCAAAGAAAAUUUCCACUUUAGUAACAAUAUUGUGCUAAUAUGAAUUUCUUACUUUAGAUAAAGGUACAAUGAUUAUAUAAGAUAUAAACAUUAGGUAUGGAAACUAUUCUAUCUUCACAACACUUUUAUAAACUUAAAAUUCAUUCAAAAUAAAUUAAAUGGGUAAAAUAAAAAACUUUGCCUUGACUCCACAUAUGACUCUAUUAUUACAUUUCUCUCCUUCCUAUCUUGGCAAAAAUCGAUUGACAAUCUAAUCUUGAUUUUUUUUAAAUAAUGUCAUUGUUGAUAGUUUUUUAGCACAAAAAUAUUCAGGAGUUUUAAAAUAAUUGUUCAAUUUAUUAAAAUUACCAAUUCAAAAUUCCUAUUAUUCCUGAAGAGUUUUUUUAACCCCUUCAGAGUUUUAAUUUAGGUAAAUUUACAUAUUAAAAAUAUACGUCUUCAUUUAAAACAUGAUGACUUUUGAUAAAUGCAUAUACCCAGGUAAUCCAUGUUUGUCUAGAUAUAGAACAUUUUCAUCACCCAGAAAAGUACUCUUUGCCUUUUCUCACUCCUCUUCCAGAAUAAAUAGUUUUUCUGAUUUUAUUCCACCAUAGAUUGGGUUUCCCCAUUCUGGAACAUCAUAUAAAGUACAUUACAAUAUGAAUUAUUUUGUGUCUGGUUUCUUCCAUUUAGCAUAAUGUUCUGGCCUCUGUCACUCAUCCAUAUUGCUAUGGUUAUCAAUAGUUUGUUCCAUUUUAUUACUUUUAGCAUUGGAACACUAUAAUUAAUAAACAGCAGUUUGUUUAUCCAAUAAACAAUGAUGAACUUUUAUAUUAUUUCCACUUUUUAGUUACUAUGAGUGAGGUGCUAUCCAUUUCCACGUGCAAGUCUUUUUGUAGACAUAUGAUUUCAUUUGGAGAGAAAAAUAUCUAAACUUGGAAUUGUUAUGUAUUAUGAAAAAUUGUCAAACAUUUCCCACAGUGGUUGUACCAUUUUACAAUUCCACAAGCAAUGUAUGCAAGUCACACAUCCUGACCAACAUUUGAUCUUUUCAGGUUUUAAAUUUUUAUUCUAGUGGGUCAAUAGUGGUUUUUCACUGUAGCUUUACUCUUGCAUUUCCCUGAUGACUAGUGAUAUUAAGUACUCAUGCAACUUAUCAGGCAUUUAUGUAUUUUCCUUUGUGAAGUACUCGUUCAAGUUAUUUGCCCAUUUUUUAUUGUUUGUAUUUAUUAUUAAGUAGGAUUCCUUUAAUUAAUAGGAAUAUGUCAUUUGCCAUAUACUUAUAAUAGACUUUCUUUUUUUUACAAAAGUUUAGAUUUACAGAAAAAUUGAGAAUAUGGUGUAGUUUCCAUAUACUCCCUCACCAGUUUCCCCUAUUAUUAACAUCUUGCAUUAGUAUUAUAAUUUGUUACAAUUAAUAGACUUGUAUUAUAUUAUUAAUAUAUUAUAUGUUAACAUAAUAUAUUAUUAUAUUAUAAUAUAUUAUAUAAUAUAUAUUAUUUAUAUUAUAUAUAUUAAUAUAUUAUAAUGUCCAUAGUUCACUCAGAUUUCCUGAGAUUUUAUUUUUUUGUUUUUACCUAAUGUAUAUUGCUGUUCCACAAUCCUAUCCAUGAUACUACACUGUAUUUACUUGUCUCCUUGGGCUUCUCUUGGCUGUGAGUUUCUUAGGUUUCCUUUAUUUUGAUAAUCUUUACAGUUUUGAGGAGCACUGGUCAACUAUUUGUAGGAUGCUCCUCUAGUGGAUUCGUCUGAUGUUUUCUCAUGAUUAGUCUAGGGAUAUGGGUUUGGAGAUGAAGACCACAGUAAAGUGCUGUUUUCUUCAUACAUAUCAAGGUACAUUAUGAUUAUGGCUUAUCACUGUUGGUAUUGACCUUGAUCACCUGCUGAGAUAGUACUGUCAGACUUCUGCCCUGUAAGGUCACUCUUUUUCCCCCUUUC